rnacentral:miRNA from 1 species
CGCGGCCACCUCACUCUUGCCAG